rnacentral:rRNA from 1 species
UACGGGGGGAGCAAGCGUUGUUCGGAUUUACUGGGCGUAAAGGGCGCGUAGGCGGCCUCCGCAAGUCAAUUGUGAAAUCUCCGGGCUUAACUCGGAAAGGUCAACUGAUACUGCGGGGCUAGAGUGCGGAAGGGGCUACUGGAAUUCUUGGUGUAGCGGUGAAAUGCGUAGAUAUCAAGAGGAACACCUGCGGCGAAGGCGGGUUGCUGGGCCGACACUGACGCUGAGGCGCGAAAGCUAGGGGAGCGAACGGG